UCGGGGCGUGGCGCAGCCUGGUAGCGCACCUGCUUUGGGAGCAGGGGGUCGGAGGUUCGAAUCCUCUCGCCCCGAU
rnacentral:tRNA from 1 species